rnacentral:lncRNA from 1 species
CAAGAAGACGCCCUGGAUUUAAAGACGUGCUAUCCCACCAGCUCCUGUAGGAGCUCAGCACCGCGUUUGGCCUGUUGCGAUCUUCCCGCUCCCCUCAUUUCUGUGCUGCAACGCCACCAUGCACGAGAAGUCAGGAUUCACUUGGCAGGGAAGACAACCAUGGAAUCCAAGGGCUGUGGACAACCAUCUACCAGAUGGUUGUUGAAGAUGCCUUCGGUCACGUCAUUUGUCCUUUUAGCUCGCCCUUUCCUUUAUCUUGAGUUGAAUUUUUGUGCAGCGCUAUGUUUGCAGUGGUAACACUGCUGCUGAGGUGUUUUCGAUUAAAAACGAUCUUAACUGUAAUAGUGAAUUCACUGAGUGUGGCUUUGUAUAACGACUUCCACGACCAUAACAUUUUUCUCCUUUGUCACAGAUAGGAGGAAAACUCUUUAGAGAGAGAUGGAGAAGGAAUUAAUUAUACCUCUGCCUCAUCCCAUGAGACCAGAAGACGUGUAGUAACUGUAAGCUGCGAUUCUCAGGAGACAUACUAAGCAUCUCUGGU